CUGGGUGUGGGCUCAAUGGCCAGCCGCCUGAUUUGGGAUCAGGACAUUCAAGCAGGUUCGAUUCCUGCCACCCAGACCA
rnacentral:tRNA from 1 species